rnacentral:rRNA from 1 species
CUAUGGUUUAUUGGAUCAUACCCGUUAUAUGGAUAACUGUAAUAACUCUAGAGCUAAUACAUGCCUCGAUGCCCUGACUCUAGUUGGAUUUCGGUUCGGCUAGGGAAUGGGUGCACUUAUUAGACUAGAAGCCAACCGUGCGGGGUCGUAAGRCUCUGUGCGUUGUUCUUCUGGUGACUCUGGAUAAUUGUUACAGAUCGCAGUCGGCCUUGCGUCGGCGACGGGUCCUUCAAAUGUCUGCCCUAUCAACUUUCGAUGGUAGGUGACCUGCCUACCAUGGUGAUAACGGGUAACGGGGAAUCAGGGUUCGAUUCCGGAGAGGGAGCCUGAGAAACGGCUACCACUUCCAAGGAAGGCAGCAGGCGCGCAAAUUACCCACUCCCAGCACGGGGAGGUGGUGACGAAAAAUACCGAUGCGGGACUCCUUAAAGAGGCUCCGUAAUCGGAAUGAGUGAACUUUAAAUCCUUUAACGAGGAUCAAUUGGAGGGCAAGUCUGGUGCCAGCAGCCGCGGUAACUCCAGCUCCAAUAGCGUAUAUUAAAGUUGCUGCAGUUAAAAAGCUCGUAGUUGGAUCUCGGUACCACUGUUGCCUGUUAGAUUUGGAGGCAGUGUCAACGGCUGUGUUGUGCAUGGGCUAACACCUGUGUUGCACGCGGUCGGCUGUUUCAAGCUAGCAGUUGUAGCGGUGUCACCUUUCAGCCAUGUCUGUGGUGCAAUACCCACAGGUGUAGGCGAGUGUCAGGCGGUGCAUGGCAUCUGUUGUGUCCGUCGGCUCGCUUGCAUGCUUGUGGAUGCCCUUCAUCGGGUGUCUGUAGGCGGAUGGCACGUUUACUUUGAACAAAUUUGAGUGCUCAAACCAGGCCGAUGUUGCCUGAAAAGUUUUGCAUGGAAUAAUGGAAUAGGACUUCGGUUCUAUUUCGUUGGUUUUCGGAUCCGAAGUAAUGAUCAAAAGAGACAGGCGGGGACGUUUGUAUGGCUGCGCUAGAGGUGAAAUUCAUGGACCGUAGCCAGACAGACUAAAGCGAAAGCAUUCGUCAAGCAUGUUUUCAUUGACCAUGAGCGAAAGUCAGAGGCUCGAAGACGAUCAGAUACCGUCCUAGUUCUGACCAUAAACGAUGCCAACUGAGGAUCCGUGGUGGUAGUACAUAAACCUUCCUCACGGGCAGUCCCCGGGAAACCUUUAAGUCUUUGGGUUCCGGGGGAAGUAUGGUUGCAAAGCUGAAACUUAAAGGAAUUGACGGAAGGGCACCACCAGGAGUGGAGCCUGCGGCUUAAUUUGACUCAACACGGGGAAACUCACCCGGGCCGGACACUAUGAGGAUUGACAGAUUGAUAGCUCUUUCUUGAUUUGGUGGUUGGUGGUGCAUGGCCGUUCUUAGUUGGUGGAGCGAUUUGUCUGGUUAAUUCCGAUAACGAACGAGACUCCUGCCUGCUAAUUAGUGCAGUCGUCAACUGUAUCUGUGUCGGCGGCGUUUGACGAGGCUGUUCUAUGUAACUGUUGUGGGUCCCUGGCUGGCUUGGUGCCUUCACGGUGCUGGGGUGGUUAAGGCCUGCAGCCGUUGGGAUGGCUGGUUCGGCGUUAGUCGCCGGGUACGGCGCGAUUUGCCUACUUCUUAGAGGGACAAGCGGGAGAAGCCGCACGAAAUAGAGCAAUAACAGGUCUGUGAUGCCCUUAGAUGUCCGGGGCCGCACGCGCGCUACAAUGACGGUGCCAACGAGUCAGACCUUCUGGCCCGAAAGGGUUGGGCAAACUGGUCAAUCGCCGUCAUGACAGGGAUCGGGGCUUGGAAUUGUUCCCCGUGAACGAGGAAUUCCUAGUAAGUGCAAGUCAUCAGCUUGCGCUGAUUACGUCCCUGCCCUUUGUACACACCGCCCGUCGCUACUACCGAUUGAAUGGUUUAGUGAGGUCCUUGGAUUGGUGCCAUUGUGGUGUCCAUCGAAAGGUGGUUGCCCGACAGGUGCUGAGAAGACGACCAAACUUGAUCAUUUAGA